AGCGAACGCUGGCGGCAGGCUUAACACAUGCAAGUCGAACGGGCAUAGCAAUAUGUCAGUGGCAGACGGGUGAGUAACGCGUGGGAACGUACCUUUUGGUUCGGAACAACACAGGGAAACUUGUGCUAAUACCGGAUAAGCCCUUACGGGGAAAGAUUUAUCGCCGAAAGAUCGGCCCGCGUCUGAUUAGCUAGUUGGUAGGGUAAUGGCCUACCAAGGCGACGAUCAGUAGCUGGUCUGAGAGGAUGAUCAGCCACAUUGGGACUGAGACACGGCCCAAACUCCUACGGGAGGCAGCAGUGGGGAAUAUUGGACAAUGGGCGAAAGCCUGAUCCGGCCAUGCCGCGUGAGUGAUGAAGGCCCUAGGGUUGUAAAGCUCUUUUGUGCGGGAAGAUAAUGACGGUACCGCAAGAAUAAGCCCCGGCUAACUUCGUG
rnacentral:rRNA from 1 species